AGAACGCCGCCAGAUAAACGCGAGGGUGAAUUCACCAGCAUGUUCAACAUGUGGUAGUCGCGCUGGGGGUUCUUUUUUUA
rnacentral:ncRNA from 1 species